rnacentral:rRNA from 1 species
GAUGAACGCUAGCGGCAGGCUUAAUACAUGCAAGUCGAGGGGCAGCAUAAGUAGCAAUACUUGAUGGCGACCGGCAAACGGGUGCGGAACACGUACGCAACCUUCCUUUAAGUGGGGAAUAGCCCGGGGAAACCCGGAUUAAUACCCCGUAAUAUUAUGAUGUGGCAUCACAUUAUAAUUAUAGAUUCAUCGCUUAAAGAUGGGCGUGCGCCUGAUUAGGUAGUUGGCGGAGUAAUAGCCCACCAAGCCUGCGAUCAGUAACUGGUGUGAGAGCACGACCAGUCACACGGGCACUGAGACACGGGCCCGACUCCUACGGGAGGCAGCAGUAAGGAAUAUUGGUCAAUGGACGCAAGUCUGAACCAGCCAUGCCGCGUGGAGGAUGAAGGUCCUCUGGAUUGUAAACUUCUUUAUUUGGGAAGAAAUGUGAUGAUUCUUAUCACUUGACGGUACCAGAUGAAUAAGCACCGG